rnacentral:rRNA from 1 species
UACGUAGGGGGCAAGCGUUGUCCGGAAUUACUGGGCGUAAAGGGCUCGUAGGCGGCCAACUAAGUCAUACGUGAAAUCCCCCGGCUUAACCGGGGAACUGCGUCUGAUACUGGAUGGCUUGAGUUCGGGAGAGGGAUGCGGAAUUCCAGGUGUAGCGGUGAAAUGCGUAGAUAUCUGGAGGAACACCGGUGGCGAAGGCGGCAUCCUGGACCGAUACUGACGCUGAGGAGCGAAAGCCAGGGGAGCAAACGGG